GGGCUCGUGGUCUAGGGGUUAUGAUGUCGCCUUGACGAGGCGAAGAUCGGGAGUUCGAACUGCAACUUGCAAG
rnacentral:tRNA from 1 species